rnacentral:tRNA from 1 species
GGGAAGGUGGCUCAGCAGUAGAGCACUUGCCUUGCAUGCAUGAGGCCCUGGGUUCAAUUCCUCACCACCACA